rnacentral:miRNA from 1 species
GACUUGGUCAAAGCUCCUCAGUGUUGAUUCCAGGCCUGAGAAGUUUUGAACAAGUAAA